AUGCUAUAUUCCCAGUUUUGCUUCAUUGGCUGGUUCACGAAUAGUUACCAGCGGUCGACCCCUUUUGCAAACCAUACCUGGCUUUCAAAUUUAGCAUUUCAGAUAGCAUUACCUGAAGUUUAUUUGUAUCUCAUUUGCCUGGUGACUGUUAAGAGUGGAAUGUUAAGAUGUGACUUAUAUUUCUGGGGUGGUUUCCUUGAUCUUGUGCAUACUCCAUGCCAACAGCACAUGGCAGGAUCAUGUGAACUUAAACAAGAUGUUCUAAUACGCUUGUGCAUUCUGGUUUUUGUAAUGGCAUUGCAACUCCUUUCUUAA
rnacentral:rRNA from 1 species